AAUCUCACUGAUCUGAGGAUUGUUGGAUCCAAUUCUCCAUAUAUGAAUCUAUUUAUGACCCUGUCAAAAAAAUGUCGUCUGAUAGAGCACCUGUGCUUAGUGAGCCAUCACCCCCUAGGUAAUAUAGACGCGUCAACAGCUUCACACUUGAUAGAGUUGGUGACCAAGUCCCCCAACUUAACUUCUC